UACCAGCACCCCGAGUGGUCGGGACGAUUAUUGGGCCUAAAGCAUCCGUAGCCGGUCAUGCAAGUCCUCCGUUAAAUCCACCUGCUUAACAGAUGGGCUGCGGAGGAUACUACAAGGCUAGGAGGCGGAAGAGGCAAGCGGUACUCAGUGGGUAGGGGUAAAAUCCUCUGAUCCAUUGAAGACCACCAGUGGCGAAGGCGGCUUGCCAAUACGCGCUCGACGGUGAGGGA
rnacentral:rRNA from 1 species